CUCCACCACCGGUCCAUUCACCACCACCACCCGUCUAUUCUCCACCACCACCGGUCUAUUCUCCUCCACCACCGGUCCAUUCACCACCACCUCCUGUGCAUUCACCACCACCACCUCCUGUGCAUUCACCACCACCACCGGUGCAUUCACCACCACCACCACCACCUGUCCAUUCUCCACCACCACCUGUCCAUUCUCCACCACCACCAGUCCAGUCUCCACCACCACCGGUCUAUUCUCCACCACCACCACAUGUCUAUUCACCACCACCGCCGGUCCAGUCUCCACCACCGCCGGUCUAUUCUCCACUACUACCGCUGGUCCAUUCACCUCCACCACUGGUCCAUAAACC
rnacentral:lncRNA from 1 species